AACAGGAUUUGAUACCCUGGUAGUCCACGCUGUAAACGAUGUCGACUUGGAGGUUGUGCCCUUGAGGCGUGGCUUCCGGAGCUAACGCGUUAAGUCGACCGCCUGGGGAGUACGGCCGCAAGGUUAAAACUCAAAUGAAUUGACGGGGGCCCGCACAAGCGGUGGAGCAUGUGGUUUAAUUCGAUGCAACGCGAAGAACCUUACCUACUCUUGACAUCCAGAGAAUUUGCUAGAGAUAGCUUAGUGCCUUCGGGAACUCUGAGACAGGUGCUGCAUGGCUGUCGUCAGCUCGUGUUGUGAAAUGUUGGGUUAAGUCCCGCAACGAGCGCAACCCUUAUCCUUUGUUGCCAGCGAGUAAUGUCGGGAACUCAAAGGAGACUGCCGGUGAUAAACCGGAGGAAGGUGGGGAUGACGUCAAGUCAUCAUGGCCCUUACGAGUAGGGCUACACACGUGCUACAAUGGCAUAUACAAAGAGAAGCGAACUCGCGAGAGCAAGCGGACCUCAUAAAGUAUGUCGUAGUCCGGAUUGGAGUCUGCAACUCGACUCCAUGAAGUCGGAAUCGCUAGUAAUCGUAGAUCAGAAUGCUACGGUGAAUACGUUCCCGGGCCUUGUACACACCGCCCGUCACACCAUGGGAGUGGGUUGCAAAAGAAGUAGGUAGCUUAACCUUCGGGAGGGCGCUUACCACUUUGUGAUUCAUGACUGGGGUGAAGUCGUAACAAGGUAACC
rnacentral:rRNA from 1 species